rnacentral:rRNA from 1 species
CGGGACGGGUGAGUAAUGUCUGGGAAACUGCCUGAUGGAGGGGGAUAACUGCUGGAAACGGUAGCUAAUACCGCAUAACGUCGCAAGACCAAAGAGGGGGACCUUCGGGCCUCUUGCCAUCGGAUGUGCCCAGAUGGGAUUAGCUAGUAGGUGGGGUAACGGCUCACCUAGGCGACGAUCCCUAGCUGGUCUGAGAGGAUGGCCAGCCACACUGGAACUGAGACACGGUCCGG